CAGUAGCCGCGGUAAUACGAAGGGGGCGAGCGUUAUUCGGAAUCACUGGGCGUAAAGCGUGCGUAGGCGGUUCUAAAAGUUAGAAGUGAAAGCCCAGGGCUCAACCCUGGAAUUGCUUUUAAAACUAUAGGACUAGAAUUCGGGAGAGGAUAGCGGAAUUUCCGGUGUAGCAGUGAAAUGCGUAGAGAUCGGAAGGAACAUCUGUGGCGAAGGCGACUAUCUGAGCCAACACUGACACUGAGACACGAAAGCGUGGGGAGCAAACAGGAUUAGAUACCCCCGUAGUCCCUGUCUCUUAUAC
rnacentral:rRNA from 1 species